GACAGAGGGUGCAAACGUUGUUCGGAAUUACUGGGCGUAAAGCGCACGUAGGUGGCCUGUUAAGUCGGGUGUGAAAUCCCUGGGCUCAACCCAGGAAGUGCACUCGAAACUGGCAGGCUUGAGUACUGAAGAGGGUCGCGGAAUUCCCGGUGUAGAGGUGAAAUUCGUAGAUAUUGGGAAGAACACCGGUGGCGAAGGCGGCUCACUGGCUCGUAACUGACGCUCAGGCGCGACAGCGUGGGGAUCAAACAGG
rnacentral:rRNA from 1 species